rnacentral:lncRNA from 1 species
AAGUACCCCCUCUCUCUCUCCUCGGAACCGUCAACAGUGGUCUCUCACGGUGGUCUUUCUUCGACACCUCCUACACCACCGAGACAUACACCGUCAGGCGCACAACCCCUGCGAGUCUUGUCGCCGGAGGCCGCCUUACGCGCCGCCUACGACCGCCCACGCGCCGCCACCAAAGCCCACGCGCCGCGCGCGUGAGCACUGUUCCGGGAAUUUUUUCGGAUGGCUCCUUUUGGACAGUAUUUCCCCCCCUCAAUUCCGACCAACUCGGUACUUCCGGAAUAUUCACCUGCUCACUUUCAUUGUUUCUCGUGUUGUUUUCUUUUUAUUUUCAUUUUCUCUGUUUUCCUUUUGCUUGUGUUUUC